GAUGAACGCUGGCGGCGUGCCUAAUACAUGCAAGUCGAGCGAACAGAUGAGGAGCUUGCUCCUCUGACGUUAGCGGCGGACGGGUGAGUAACACGUGGAUAACCUACUAUAAAGACGGGGAAAAUUUGGGAAAACGGGACCAAUUCCGGAAAAUAUUAUGAACCGCCAGGGUGAAUAGUGAAAAGACGGUUUUGUGUCACUUAUAGAUUGGUCCGCGCCGCAUUAGCUAGUUGGUAAGGUAACGGCUUACCAAGGCAACGAUGCGUAGCCGACCUGAGAGGGUGAUCGGCCACACUGGAACUGAGACACGGUCCAGACCCCUACGGGAGGCAGCAGUAGGGAAUCUUCCGCAAUGGGCGAAAGCCUGACGGAGCAACGCCGCGUGAGUGAUGAAGGUCUUCGGAUCGUAAAACUCUGUUAUUAGGGAAGAACAAAUGUGUAAGUAACUAUGCACGUCUUGACGGUACCUAAUCAGAAAGCCACGGCUAACUACGUG
rnacentral:rRNA from 1 species